UACGUAGGGGGCAAGCGUUGUCCGGAUUUACUGGGCGUAAAGCGCGUGUAGGUGGGAGUGCAAGUCCGGUGGGAAAGCCCGCGGCUCAACCGCGGAAGUUCGCUGGAAACUGUGCUUCUUGAGGGUGAUAGAGGGAAGUGGAAUUGCUGGUGUAGCGGUGAAAUGCGUAGAUAUCGUAAGGAAGACCAGUGGCGAAGGCGGGUCUCUGGACAGUUCCUGACGCUGAGGCACGAAGGCCAGGGGAGCAAACGGG
rnacentral:rRNA from 1 species